UAGGGAAUCUUCGGCAAUGGGGGGAACCCUGACCGAGCAACGCCGCGUGAGUGAAGAAGGUUUUCGGAUCGUAAAGCUCUGUUGUUAAGGAAGAACGAGUGUGAGAAUGGAAAGUUCAUGCUGUGACGGUACUUAACCAGAAAGGGACGGCUAACUACGUGCCAGCAGCCGCGGUAAUACGUAGGUCCCGAGCGUUGUCCGGAUUUAUUGGGCGUAAAGCGAGCGCAGGCGGUUAGAAAAGUCUGAAGUGAAAGGCAGUGGCUCAACCAUUGUAGGCUUUGGAAACUGUUUAACUUGAGGGCAGAAGGGGAGAGUGGAAUUCCAUGUGUAGCGGUGAAAUGCGUAGAUAUAUGGAGGAACACCGGUGGCGAAAGCGGCUCUCUUGUCUGUAACUGACGCUGAGGCUCGAAAGCGUGGGGAGCGAACAGG
rnacentral:rRNA from 1 species